AUCGGUCGAAACUGUACGUCUUGUUUGACGUCAUCGGCUGUAACAGAAAUUGAAAACACAGAGGAAAAAGGAUUUAUCAAGUCUCUGUUAAAACUGGAACUUGGUAUCACAUCUGACUCGCACUUCUGAAAUGGAUCAAAUCGGACUUUGUCGUCGAGACUCGGAAGAACCCAGCUGCGUAAAUUAUAAUGCCAGUGGAACUCAAAACAGAAAAGAUACUUGUAUGCAAGACAUGGAGAAAAGAGCAGACUACAGCCUCUAUAUACCAUUCCUUGGUGCCUCCUUUAAUUGAUGUAUU